AGUCGAACGGACGAGAGGGAGCUUGCUCCCUCAAGUUAGUGGCGGACGGGUGAGUAACGCGUGAGUAACCUGCCUUUCAGAGGGGAAUAACAUUCUGAAAAGGAUGCUAAUACCGCAUAAUGUCACAGUAUCGCAUGGUACAGCGAUCAAAGGAGCAAUCCGCUGAAAGAUGGACUCGCGUCCGAUUAGCUAGUUGGCGGGAUAAAGGCCCACCAAGGCGACGAUCGGUAGCCGGACUGAGAGGUUGAUCGGCCACAUUGGGACUGAGACACGGCCCAGACUCCUACGGGAGGCAGCAGUGGGGGAUAUUGCACAAUGGGGGAAACCCUGAUGCAGCAACGCCGCGUGAAGGAAGAAGGUCUUCGGAUUGUAAACUUCUGUCCUCAGGGAAGAUAAUGACGGUACCUGAGGAGGAAGCUCCGGCUAACUACGUGCCAGCAGCCGCGGUAAUACGUAGGGAGCGAGCGUUGUCCGGAUUUACUGGGUGUAAAGGGUGCGUAGGCGGAUCUGCAAGUCAGUAGUGAAAUCCCAGGGCUUAACCCUGGAACUGCUAUUGAA
rnacentral:rRNA from 1 species